rnacentral:sRNA from 1 species
UCGCAAAUGUUUGCUGAUGCCCGGACGGA